rnacentral:sRNA from 1 species
UCCUUGAACCAUUAAUUGUUCCAAAGAGC